rnacentral:rRNA from 1 species
UGGUGGAGUGAUUUGUCUGCUUAAUUGCGAUAACGAACGAGACCUCAGUCUGCUAACUAGUCGUGGCAAUAUCCUAUAUGGUUGAAGCAUUCUCGUGGCGUAGGGGCUUAGGCCCUUGCGUACGUGAGUGUGGAAGCUUGGACUAUUGCCUGGUUACUUCUUAGAGAGACUAUUUAUGUUUAAUAAAUGGAAGUUUGAGGCAAUAACA